AUUGAACGCUGGCGGCAUGCUUUACACAUGCAAGUCGGACGAGUGGCGAACGGGUGAGUAACGCAUCGGAACGUACCGAGUAAUGGGGGAUAACUGUCCGAAAGCACAGCUAAUAACGCAUAUUAUUAGAGCGGCCGAUGUCUGAUUAGCUGGUUGGCGGGGUAAAGGCCCACCAAGGCGACGGUCAGUAGCGGGUCUGAGAGGAUGAUCGGCCACACGGGGACUGGGACACGGCCCAGACUCCUACGGGAGGCAGCAGUGGGGAAUUUUGGACAAUGGGCUCAAGCCUGAUCGAGCCAUGCCGCGUGUCUGAAGAAGGCUUUCGGGUUUUAAAGGACUUUUGUCAGGGAAGCGGUACCUGAAUAGUAAGCACAGGCUAACUACGUGCCAGCAGCCGCGGUAAUAC
rnacentral:rRNA from 1 species